UGUAAGGAUCCUGUCAAUCCAUGGUUAC
rnacentral:piRNA from 1 species